rnacentral:rRNA from 1 species
AUUGAACGCUGGCGGCAGGCCUAACACAUGCAAGUCGAGCGAGCGGCGGACGGGUGAGUAAUGUCUGGGAAACUGCCUGAUGGAGGGGGAUAACUACUGGAAACGGUAGCUAAUACCGCAUACCAUCAGAUGUGCCCAGAUGGGAUUAGCUAGUAGGUGGGGUAAUGGCCCACCUAGGCGACGAUCCCUAGCCGGACUGAGAGGAUGACCAGCGACACUGGAACUGAGACACGGUCCAGACUACUACGGGAGGCAGCAGUGGGGAAUAUUGCACAAUGGGCGCAAGGCUGAUGCAGACAUGCCGCGUGUGUGAAGAAGGCCUUCGGGUUGUAAAGCACUUUCAGCGGGGAAGCGUUACCCGCAGAAGAAGCACCGGCUAACUCCGUGCCAGCAGCCGCGGUAAUUC